rnacentral:rRNA from 1 species
GACGGAGGGUGCAAGCGUUGUUCGGAAUUACUGGGCGUAAAGGGCGCGUAGGCGGUUUGCUAAGUUCGGUGUGAAAGCCCCUGGCUCAACUGGGGAACGGCGCUGGAAACUGGCAGACUAGAGUACCGGAGAGGAGGGUGGAAUUCCUGGUGUAGCGGUGAAAUGCGUAGAUAUCAGGAGGAACACCGGUGGCGAAGGCGUCCCUCUGGACAUAUACUGACGCUGAGGCGCGAAAUCGUGGGGAUCAAACAGG